rnacentral:snRNA from 1 species
AGAGUAACCCGAGCAUUCUUCAGCUGUUAUAAAAAAAUAACAACUUAGGAGUCAACCCAAUGCAAUGAAUAUUUUGAGUGGUAAGUCGUAAACGAUCACCCCAAAUGUGGGUGACUCGGGUGCGUAAUUUUUGCGUAUGGGGGACUGCGUUCGCGCUAUCCCCUG